GCUAAUACAUGCAAGUCGAACGAACUCUGGUAUUGAUUGGUGCUUGCAUCAUGAUUUACAUUUGAGUGAGUGGCGAACUGGUGAGUAACACGUGGGAAACCUGCCCAGAAGCGGGGGAUAACACCUGGAAACAGAUGCUAAUACCGCAUAACAACUUGGACCGCAUGGUCCGAGUUUGAAAGAUGGCUUCGGCUAUCACUUUUGGAUGGUCCCGCGGCGUAUUAGCUAGAUGGUGGGGUAACGGCUCACCAUGGCAAUGAUACGUAGCCGACCUGAGAGGGUAAUCGGCCACAUUGGGACUGAGACACGGCCCAAACUCCUACGGGAGGCAGCAGUAGGGAAUCUUCCACAAUGGACGAAAGUCUGAUGGAGCAACGCCGCGUGAGUGAAGAAGGGUUUCGGCUCGUAAAACUCUGUUGUUAAAGAAGAACAUAUCUGAGAGUAACUGUUCAGGUAUUGACGGUAUUUAACCAGAAAGCCACGGCUAACUACGUGCCAGCAGCCGCGGUAAUACGUAGGUGGCAAGCGUUGUCCGGAUUUAUUGGGCGUAAAGCGAGCGCAGGCGGUUUUUUAAGUCUGAUGUGAAAGCCUUCGGCUCAACCGAAGAAGUGCAUCGGAAACUGGGAAACUUGAGUGCAGAAGAGGACAGUGGAACUCCAUGUGUAGCGGUGAAAUGCGUAGAUAUAUGGAAGAACACCAGUGGCGAAGGCGGCUGUCUGGUCUGUAACUGACGCUGAGGCUCGAAAGUAUGGGUAGCAAACAGGAUUAGAUACCCUGGUAGUCCAUACCGUAAACGAUGAAUGCUAAGUGUUGGAGGGUUUCCGCCCUUCAGUGCUGCAGCUAACGCAUUAAGCAUUCCGCCUGGGGAGUACGGCCGCAAGGCUGAAACUCAAAGGAAUUGACGGGGGCCCGCACAAGCGGUGGAGCAUGUGGUUUAAUUCGAAGCUACGCGAAGAACCUUACCAGGUCUUGACAUACUAUGCAAAUCUAAGAGAUUAGACGUUCCCUUCGGGGACAUGGAUACAGGUGGUGCAUGGUUGUCGUCAGCUCGUGUCGUGAGAUGUUGGGUUAAGUCCCGCAACGAGCGCAACCCUUAUUAUCAGUUGCCAGCAUUAAGUUGGGCACUCUGGUGAGACUGCCGGUGACAAACCGGAGGAAGGUGGGGAUGACGUCAAAUCAUCAUGCCCCUUAUGACCUGGGCUACACACGUGCUACAAUGGAUGGUACAACGAGUUGCGAACUCGCGAGAGUAAGCUAAUCUCUUAAAGCCAUUCUCAGUUCGGAUUGUAGGCUGCAACUCGCCUACAUGAAGUCGGAAUCGCUAGUAAUCGCGGAUCAGCAUGCCGCGGUGAAUACGUUCCCGGGCCUUGUACACACCGCCCGUCACACCAUGAGAGUUUGUAACACCCAAAGUCGGUGGGGUAACCUUUUAGGAACCAGCCGCCUAA
rnacentral:rRNA from 2 species